rnacentral:rRNA from 1 species
ACACGACUACAUUAGAUACCCGGGUAGUCCUAGCCGUAAACGAUACUCGCUAGGUGUCGGCCACGGUGCGACCGUUGUCGGUGCCGUAGGGAAGCCGUGAAGCGAGCCACCUGGGAAGUACGGCCGCAAGGCUGAAACUUAAAGGAAUUGGCGGGGGAGCACCACAACGGGUGGAGCUUGCGGUUUAAUUGGAUUCAACGCCGGAAAUCUUGCCGGGACCGACAGCAACAUGAAGGCCAGGCUGAAGACUUUGCCGGAUUAGCUG